UACUCGAGUGGCGAACGGGUGAGUAACACGUGGGUGAUCUGCCCUGCACUUCGGGAUAAGCUUGGGAAACUGGGUCUAAUACCGGAUAGGAACCAUCUUUAGUGUGGUGGUUGGAAAGUUUUUCGGUGUAGGAUGAGCUCGCGGCCUAUCAGCUUGUUGGUGGGGUAAUGGCCUACCAAGGCGGCGACGGGUAGCCGGCCUGAGAGGGUGUACGGCCACAUUGGGACUGAGAUACGGCCCAG
rnacentral:rRNA from 1 species